AUUGAACGCUGGCGGCAUGCUUUACACAUGCAAGUCGAACGGCAGCGCGGGCUUCGGCCUGGCGGCGAGUGGCGAACGGGUGAGUAAUGCAUCGGAACGUGCCCAGUAGUGGGGGAUAGCCCGGCGAAAGCCGGACUAAUACCGCAUACGACCUUAGGGUGAAAGCGGGGGAUCGAAAGGCCUCGCGCUAUUGGAGCGGCCGAUGACGGAUUAGCUAGUUGGUGGGGUAAAGGCUUACCAAGGCGACGAUCCGUAGCUGGUCUGAGAGGACGACCAGCCACACUGGGACUGAGACACGGCCCAGACUCCUACGGGAGGCAGCAGUGGGGAAUUUUGGACAAAGGGGGCAACCCUGAUCCAGCCAUGCCGCGUGCGGGAAGAAGGCCUUCGGGUUGUAAACCGCUUUUGUUAGGGAAGAAAUCCUCUGGGCUAAUACCCCGGGGGGAUGACGGUACCGGAAGAAUAAGCACCGGCUAACUACGUG
rnacentral:rRNA from 1 species